rnacentral:lncRNA from 1 species
CGCGCGCUGCAGGUUUCCAGCCUGUGAUUGGGCCAGCAAUUCCGGGAAUGAAUUGAUGACGUCAGCGUUUGAAUUCCAUGGCUGCCAGACGGCGGGCAAGAGGCAGCGGCGCUUCUGCAGUAUUAAAUAAAACCAGGAGAGAUAAUAAUGGCACUACAGAAGACUCACCCCCUGCCAAGAAAACAUGCAAAUAUCAGAGACAGGAAGUGAAAAAGGAGCCUGUAGCUAGAGGAAAGGCUGAUAAGGGCAGGACCGAAGAUACAAAAGGUGAAUUGAGACCAAAGCAGAAAACCAGGAUUACUUAGGAACAGCAAAGUUAGUUGUGACAGAAUCUGUGAAGUCAGUGCUGCUAAAGGGCAAAGCUCCUGUGGACCCAGAAUGUACAGCCAAGGUGGGAAAGGUGAGAGACU